GACGAACGCUGGCGGCAUGCCUAACACAUGCAAGUCUAGGGGUAGCAAUACCACUGGCGCACGGGUGAGUAACACGUAGGUUAUCUGCCCCCAUCACAGACAUAACCCCGGGAAACCGGGGCUAAUAUCUGAUGAGGUCGCGAGAUCAAAGCUUCGGCGGAUGGGGAUGAGCCUGCGGCUGAUUAGCUAGUUGGUGAGGUAAUGGCUCACCAAGGCGACGAUCAGUAGCUGGUCUGAGAGGACGAACAGCCACACUGGAACUGAGACACGGUCCAGACUCCUACGGGAGGCAGCAGUGAGGAAUAUUGGUCAAUGGGAGCAAUCCUGAACCAGCAAUGCCGCGUGUGGGAUGACAGGGCUUCGCCUUGUAAACCACUGUCGGACGGGACGAAAGGAGGCCUCGGGCCUCUGGGACGGUACCGUCAAAGGAAGGGUCGGCUAACUACGUGCCAGCAGCCGCGUAU
rnacentral:rRNA from 1 species